rnacentral:rRNA from 1 species
AUGGGGGACAGUUCAAGAUCGCAGAACAAACAGGGGAAGGAGUCGGCGGAAGGGUUGCUGGCGAGGCUCACCCUGCAGGAGGAGGAGGAUGAUUUCAUCUGGGAGGAAGAAUUGCCGGAUAUGAUGGAGCCGGCGAAGUGGCUUGCGAUUGUGAGGGUACAUACGACGAGAACUUUCAGCCCUAACGCGCUAUACAAUGAUAUGAGGGCGGCCUGGAAUCCUGCGAAAUAGGUGGUAUGGAGGAGGAUCGAAGCAAACCUGUUCACAGCGCAGUUUGGAUGUUUAGGAGAUUGGAAGAAGGCUAUGAUCGAUGGACCAUGGCUGUUCAGGGAGCAGGCUGUAAUCAUGGAGGAGUAUGAUGGCUUCAGAAACCUUGAUACUUUCAAGCUGGACAAGCUAGCGGUUUGGGCCCAGAUCCGUCGUCUCCCGGACAAGUUCUUGAUUGAACCAGCAGUAAGAGGCCUGGCAUCGUGCAUCGGGGAGGUAGAAGAAGUCCAGCUCAAGCUCCCAACAGGCUUUUUUGGUGAGUUUGUGAGGGUAAAGGUGAAGAUCGACAUCAAUGCCAAAAUCAAGCGUUUUGUCACUGGCAGAAAGGGGGAGGAGAGGAUCAAAUACCAGGUGAAAUAUGAAAAGUUGCCUACCUUCUGCUACAACUGUGGGGAAUUUGGCCAUUGGCAUGAGGAGUGUGGAGAAGGGGAGCAUGAUUAG